rnacentral:rRNA from 1 species
UAGCGGAAACGAGUUAUCUGAACCUUCGGGGAACGAUAACGGCGUCGAGCGGCGGACGGGUGAGUAAUGCCUGGGAAAUUGCCCUGAUGUGGGGGAUAACUAUUGGAAACGAUAGCUAAUACCGCAUAAUGUCUACGGACCAAAGAGGGGGACCUUCGGGCCUCUCGCUUCAGGAUAUGCCCAGGUGGGAUUAGCUAGUUGGUGAGGUAAUGGCUCACCAAGGCGACGAUCCCUAGCUGGUCUGAGAGGAUGAUCAGCCACACUGGAACUGAGACACGGUCCAGACUCCUACGGGAGGCAGCAGUGGGGAAUAUUGCACAAUGGGCGCAAGCCUGAUGCAGCCAUGCCGCGUGUAUGAAGAAGGCCUUCGGGUUGUAAAGUACUUUCAGUCGUGAGGAAGGCAAUAUAGUU